AAAGUUUGACUGAAGCUAAAGGUGUUUGAGUCGUGACUCACUCGGAUCUUUCACCCGUGUCUUUAAAUUAACCCAUGAGUCGCGAGUCUCUAGUAUCAUUAACUCGGAUCA